UACGUAGGGUGCGAGCGUUGUCCGGAAUUAUUGGGCGUAAAGAGCUCGUAGGCGGUGUGUCACGUCGUUCGUGAAAACCUGCAGCUUAACUGUGGGCGUGCGGUCGAUACGGGCAUCACUGGAGUUCGGCAGGGGAGACUGGAAUUCCUGGUGUAGCGGUGAAAUGCGCAGAUAUCAGGAGGAACACCGGUGGCGAAGGCGGAUCUCUGGGCCUUACCUGACGCUCGAGGUGCGAAAGCUAGGGGAGCGAACAGG
rnacentral:rRNA from 1 species